rnacentral:rRNA from 1 species
CAGCAGCCGCGGUAAUACGGAAGGUCCAGGCGUUAUCCGGAUUUAUUGGGUUUAAAGGGAGCGUAGGCGGAUUAUUAAGUCAGUGGUGAAAGACGGUGGCUCAACCAUCGUUAGCCAUUGAAACUGGUAGUCUUGAGUGCAGACAGGGAUGCUGGAACUCGUGGUGUAGCGGUGAAAUGCUUAGAUAUCACGAUGAACUCCGAUCGCGAAGGCAGGUGUCCGGGCUGCAACUGACGCUGAGGCUCGAAAGUGUGGGUAUCAAACAGGAUUAGAUACCCUGGUAGUCCACACAGUAAACGAUGUAUACUCGCGGUUUGCGAUAGACAGUAAGCCGCCAAGCGAAAGCAUUAAGUAUACCACCUGGGGAGUACGCCGGCAACGGUGAAACUCAAAGGAAUUGACGGGGGCCCGCACAAGCGGAGGAACAUGUGGUUUAAUUCGAUGAUACGCGAGGAACCUUACCCGGGCUUGAACUAAGAGUGACUUAUCUAGAGAUAGAUAUUUCUUCGGACACUCUUGGAGGUGCUGCAUGGUUGUCGUCAGCUCGUGCCGUGAGGUGUCGGCUUAAGUGCCAUAACGAGCGCAACCCUUUUCCUUGGUUGCCAUCAGGUAAUGCUGGGCACUCCAGGGAUACUGCCAUCGUAAGAUGUGAGGAAGGUGGGGAUGACGUCAAAUCAGCACGGCCCUUACGUCCGGGGCUACACACGUGUUACAAUGGGGGGUACAGAAGGUCGCUACCUGGUGACAGGAUGCUAAUCUCAAAAACCUCUCUCAGUUCGGAUUGGAGUCUGCAACCCGACUCCAUGAAGCUGGAUUCGCUAGUAAUCGCGCAUCAGCCAUGGCGCGGUGAAUACGUUCCCGGGCCUUGUACACACCGCCCGUCAAGCCAUGAAAGCCGGGGGUGCCUGAAAGCCGUGACCGCAAGGGUCGGCCUAGGGUAAAACUGGUGAUUGGGGCUAAGUCGUAACAAGGUAGCCGU